AGAGUUUGAUCAUGGCUCAGAUUGAACGCUGGCGGCAUGCCUUACACAUGCAAGUCGAACGGUAACGGGCCUUCGGGUGCCGACGAGUGGCGAACGGGUGAGUAAUGUAUCGGAACGUACCUUUCAGUGGGGGAUAACGUAGCGAAAGUUACGCUAAUACCGCAUAUUCUGCGAGCAGGAAAGCAGGGGAUCGCAAGACCUUGCGCUGAUUGAGCGGCCGAUAUCAGAUUAGCUAGUUGGUGAGGUAAAGGCUCACCAAGGCGACGAUCUGUAGCGGGUCUGAGAGGAUGAUCCGCCACACUGGAACUGAGACACGGUCCAGACUCCUACGGGAGGCAGCAGUGGGGAAUUUUGGACAAUGGGGGCAACCCUGAUCCAGCCAUGCCGCGUGAGUGAAGAAGGCCUUCGGGUUGUAAAGCUCUUUCGGCCGGGAAGAAAUCGUAUGGGCUAAUACCCUGUGCGGAUGACGGUACCGGCAUAAGAAGCACCGGCUAACUACGUG
rnacentral:rRNA from 1 species